UGCCGUGUUGUCUAUGAUGCAUCUCUGUGUCUGAUACAAGCGUGAAGUCAUCCAGCAGUAAAUUUCGUCACUACCACUGAGACAACAGCA